rnacentral:lncRNA from 1 species
CCCUGUGUCCAUGUGUUCUCACUGUUCAGCUCCCAGUUAUCCAUGAGAACAGGGUUUUCAGGUGCUGGUUCCAUGGCUCUUCCUGAGCCGAAAAUAAGGAAACUCCAUAGACCUUGUCCACUGGAACUCGUUCCCAUCUACCCUCCACUCUAUCCAGCCCCAUGAGGACAAGGAACAUGAUUGGUUUUGCUCACUGCCGUAUCUUCCGUACCUAGUACGUAACAGGACAUCAAUAAAUAUUAGUUGAAUGGAAGAUUAAAUCAACAAAAUGGGUGAUGGAUCUCUGCAGUAAGUGGAAGAGUUCUUCAUGGCCCCCAAGGUUAUAUCCAUCUAGAACUUCAGCACGUAAUUUCAUCUGGAAAUAGUGCCUUUGCGGAUAUAAGUUAGGUAAAACUGAAGAUGAGAUCAUACUGGAUUAGGAUGGGAUCUAAAUCCAAUGAAAAUGUCUUCAUAAAAAACAGGAAAGAACCCAUAGAAACACAAGGAAGAAGGUCAUGUGAAGAUGGAGGCAGAGAUUGGAGGGAUGCAGCCACCGGCCCAGGAAUGCCAGCAGCCACCCAGAAGCUGGAAGGAAAUGAGGGAUUCUCUCCUAGAACCUUUAGAGAGAACAUGGUCCUGUGAACAGCUUGAUUUUGGACUUGCCCAUAGCUUGUAUACUCUUACUUUGGAUACAAUUUUAUCCAAACUUGGCUAAACAGUUUCUCAGCCUAUGGAAAAUUUAAAAUGGAGAAGAUUCAACUCGAUUCUUACAGAUUCAAAGCAAGAAAAUGAUGGGAACAUAGGAGGAGACCAAGAAAGCCUAUAAAAAGCAAAAAUAUGAAGUGAACAUUGUGGUAGCUUUAAGAUGUUUAGUGUAGCUGCAGGCACCCUAUACACAUGAAAACCCCCAAGGGGAAUCCCCAUAUCACAGUGUAGUGUGAUAUUUGACAUUCGUGAUCAUCUAGAGAUGUACAGAAAAGGUGAAUCUGUGUUCUGUAUAUUCUGCCUAAGGCAAAGAAAUGUUUAGCUCUCUUUAAAAUAGUUCCAUAAUUUUUUCUAAAAAGCUUUGCUUGAAAACUGUAAGCUUCCCAUAUCUGGAGCAUUUCACUUUAAAUAUUUGGAUAAAUAUGUUAUCUUCUUACUUGGACAUUUCAUGUGUUUAGGGAUUGUCUUCUAAAUUCUUCCUAAUUCAUAUAGCUGCUAACACUUCCCGCAGAGCUAAACCAUUACAGAUAUGAAAUAAAGACCUAUUGAUUUG